rnacentral:rRNA from 1 species
UGUUUGACCUCAAAUCAGGUAGGGCUU